GAAAUGCGAUAAGUAAUGUGAAUUGCAGAAUUCCGUGAAUCAUCGAAUCUUUGAACGCACAUUGCGCCCUCUGGUAUUCCGGGGGGCAUGCCUGUCCGAGCGUCAUUGCGAACCCCUCAAGCACGGCUUGUGUGAUGGGCCCUCCCGCGUCUUGGUCGUCAAGACGGGCCCGAAAUGCAGUGGCGGCUUCGCGGUUAUCCGAUCAGCCAGAGCGUAUGGGGACUUUCUCUCUGUCACACGCCCGCGGCGCGGACCGACGCCUGUAGACCUUCAUUCAUCGUUUUCUCGGUUGACCUCGGAUCAGGUAGGGAUACCCGCUGAACUUAAGC
rnacentral:misc_RNA from 1 species